rnacentral:misc_RNA from 1 species
UUGGUCAGCUCUGGGAGCCGUU